rnacentral:rRNA from 1 species
AUUGAACGCUGGCGGCAUGCUUUACACAUGCAAGUCGAACGGAUUUGAGGGGCUUGCUCCUCAAGUUAGUGGCGAACGGGUGAGUAAUGCAUCGGAACGUACCGUGUAAUGGGGGAUAACCUACCGAAAGGUGGACUAAUACCGCAUACGCCCUGAGGGGGAAAGAGGGGGAUCGCAAGACCUCUUGUUAUACGAGCGGCCGAUGUCGGAUUAGCUAGUUGGUGAGGUAAGAGCUCACCAAGGCGACGAUCCGUAGCGGGUCUGAGAGGACGACCCGCCACACUGGGACUGAGACACGGCCCAGACUCCUACGGGAGGCAGCAGUGGGGAAUCUUGGACAAUGGGCGCAAGCCUGAUCCAGCAAUGCCGCGUGGGUGAAGAAGGC